rnacentral:Y_RNA from 1 species
GGCUGGUCAUAUGGUAAUGAGUUAUCACAAUUUAUUAACACUGAUGGCAUUAAAGUUGGUAUACAACCCCCCACUGCUAAAUUUGACUGAAAG